rnacentral:rRNA from 1 species
AUUGAACGCUGGCGGCAUGCCUUACACAUGCAAGUCGAACGGCAGCACGGACUUCGGUCUGGUGGCGAGUGGCGAACGGGUGAGUAAUACAUCGGAACGUGCCCAGUAAUGGGGGAUAACGCAGCGAAAGUUGUGCUAAUACCGCAUACGCCCUGAGGGGGAAAGUGGGGGAUCGCAAGACCUCAUGUUAUUGGAGCGGCCGAUGGCUGAUUAGCUAGUUGGUGAGGUAAAGGCUCACCAAGGCGACGAUCAGUAGCUGGUCUGAGAGGACGACCAGCCAGACGGGGACGGCGACACGGCCCAGACUCCUACGGGAGGCAGCAGUGGGGAAUAUUGCACAAUGGGCGCAAGCCUGAUGCAGCCAUGCCGCGUGUAUGAAGAAGGCCUUCGGGUUGUAAAGUACUUUCAGCGGGGAGGAAGGCGGUGAAGUUAAUAACUUCACCGAUUGACGUUACCCGCAGAAGAAGCACCGGCUAACUCCGUGCCAGCCGCCGCGGUAA